rnacentral:rRNA from 1 species
GAUGAACGCUGGCGGCGUGCCUAACACAUGCAAGUCGAGCGGCAGCGAGGGGUGCUUGCACCCUGUCGGCGAGCGGCGGACGGCUGAGUAACGCGUGGGAACGUGCCCCAAAGUGAGGAAUAACUGCCCGAAAGGGUAGCUAAUACCGCAUCUUAUCUUCGGAUCAAAGGAUUUAUCCGCUUUGGGAGCGGCUCGCGUCGGAUUAGGUAGUUGUUGAGGUAAUGGCUCACCAAGCCGACGAUCCGUAGCUGGUCUGAGAGGAUGACCAGCCAGACUGGAACUGAGACACGGUCCAGACUCCUACGGGAGGCAGCAGUGAGGAAUCUUCCACAAUGGGCGAAAGGCUGAUGGAGCAACGCCGCGUGCAGGACGAAGGCCUUCGGGUUGUAAACUGCUUUUAUAAGUGAGGAAUAUGACGGUAACUUAUGAAUAAGGAUCGGCUAACUACGUG